UCGACCGCCUGGGGAGUACGGCCGCAAGGUUAAAACUCAAAUGAAUUGACGGGGGCCCGCACAAGCGGUGGAGCAUGUGGUUUAAUUCGAUGCAACGCGAAGAACCUUACCUGGUCUUGACAUCCACAGAACUUUCCAGAGAUGGAUUGGUGCCUUCGGGAACUGUGAGACAGGUGCUGCAUGGCUGUCGUCAGCUCGUGUUGUGAAAUGUUGGGUUAAGUCCCGCAACGAGCGCAACCCUUAUCCUUUGUUGCCAGCGGUCCGGCCGGGAACUCAAAGGAGACUGCCAGUGAUAAACUGGAGGAAGGUGGGGAUGACGUCAAGUCAUCAUGGCCCUUACGACCAGGGCUACACACGUGCUACAAUGGCGCAUACAAAGAGAAGCGACCUCGCGAGAGCAAGCGGACCUCAUAAAGUGCGUCGUAGUCCGGAUUGGAGUCUGCAACUCGACUCCAUGAAGUCGGAAUCGCUAGUAAUCGUGGAUCAGAAUGCCACGGUGAAUACGUUCCCGGGCCUUGUACACACCGCCCGUCACACCAUGGGAGUGGGUUGCAAAAGAAGUAGGUAGCUUAACCUUCGGGAGGGCGCUUACCACUUUGUGAUUCAUGACUGGGGUGAAGUCGUAACAAGGUAACCGUAGGGGAACCUGCGGUUGGAUCACCUCCUUACCUUAAAGAAGC
rnacentral:rRNA from 1 species